ensembl:lncRNA
AGAGAUAGCUCAAGGCUUCUGGAUGGAGGCUGGUAGCCCCGAGGUGGGGUGCCUGCAAAAGGGCUGCCUUGCUCACCUUCCUCCUCCAGCAUCUGGGCAGGUCUAACCUAAGCUGUCCCGGGCCAUUACCUCCCCCUGCAUCAGACCUGCAUCCCACAGGGGCAGCGUUUGAUGAUGAAAAACCACCAAAUCCUUUUUUCCUUGCAAGUAUGUCAUGUUGGGGAGCUCGGAGAUGUGGUGGGAAAACAGGACAGAGUUGUGUCUAAUAGGUAUUUGGCACUGCGAAGCAACUGCAAGCUGGAGGCACGGCACCUCUUUUCCUGCUCAGCUGUGGCUGUUGUGAGGCACGAAGAUGGACCAUCAAGCAGAAGCAAGCAUUUGGGCACGUCGAAUCACAGAAUUAUAGAAUGGUUUGAGUUGGAAAGUACCUUAAAGCCCAUCCAAGUCCCAACCUCUGCCAUGUAUAGGGCUGCCCCCCCCAGGUCAGGCUGCACGGGGCUCCAUCCAGCCUUGCCCUGAGCAGCUGCAGGGAUGGGGCUCCGCAGUUCUGGGCAGCAGUGCCAACACCUCACUGUCCUCUGAGUGAAGAAUUUCCUCCUUCAGUUGUGUUAACUAGGUUGAGGCUUUCAUUGAUCAGCAUUGCCUGCUGCUGGGCUGGUCCUUGGUUCUUGGUAGAUUCCUUCAUCUGCCAUUUCUAGGUGUCAGCAUCAGUGACUGCUGUAGAUUUGCAAGCACCUAAGUUCAACCCUUGCAGCACUAAGCCAGGCUUGGAGAUAGAGGAGCACAAGCGAAAUGUAUCCUUCCCCAGACCUGUGGCUUGGGUAAAAAGGAGUUCUGCUCCAGCAAAAGUGCUAGAAAGAGAACAGUCCUACCCAAUUCCAGUUUAAAAAGAGCAGAUCUCCACACACAGCCAUGGAGGAACCCCAGCAGCAGCAGUGGCUGUUGCCAGGAAGAGGCAGCAGCCAUGGAGAAGCCCUGCAGGUCCCAGGCAGGAGCUACCACCUGUGCCAAGCCUGGUUUGCUACUGAUGACAACUGUUCUUACUCUUUUUUUCACCAUGUUUUCUACUCUUGUCCUUCAGAGGAGGGAUGAUGAGAGAGCAGCAUGGCAGAGCCGAGAUGCCCGUGGGUAUGAAACCACUGCAGCCAGCAUGGUUUUCUGCCCAGACCUUCCAUCUCCAUUACAGCGAUGGGGUACCGCACUGUAGGGCAGUCAGGCUCUUCCUUACUGCUGCCACUCUGUGCCUCCCCCAACUCCCAGCCCCAACCACUACAGUGCUGCCUUCGCUGCCCAAGAGUAAGGCACAGCCCUGUGUGUUAAAAGCUACGAUCAAAGCUGUUCAGUGCUCUGUGCUUUCCUGUUUGUCCCAGCAAGAGAGCUGCUCUGACCAGAUAGGAAUGGGGAACGUGCUCUCAGCGAGGUGAGAGCCCUUUGAACUGGCAUAAAAAGUGCAUCGUUGUUUCUGCAGCCCUCCCUCCUCCAAACCCAGGAAGAAAUAACUCUGACAAAAGCACUGCUGCUGGUUGCACAGAAGCAUUCGGAGCAUGGCUGCCUUAUGCUUAUGGUUUUUCAGGCUGUGUUUCUGUGCCAUUUGAAGCCCUGGAGGAGGGACAGCAGCCCCGCACAGCUCCAUGUGCUUACAGCCAGCCUGUCUGUCCUUCUGUUCCCUGCAUUACCCUCUGAGCUCCUGAGGGUGCUGUGGACAAAAACACCCCUUUCUGCUGAGAAUAGUUCUGGAUCCAAGUUAUUCUGCUUCCAGACUUUUCAUUACCGAUUUGUAUUUGGCCAGCCAGCACCAAAUCCAGCCCCGCAGCAUCUCUGCUGACCCUGGGGGUGAGUUUGUCCCGAGAUGUUUCUAUCACAAAGCCAUCAAAACCAAUUUCCUCCGAUCUGACUGACUUGAAAUCCCAGUAGAGGCAAUUCAUCUACUGCUGGAUGUGCGAUAUUACAGCAAAUAAACAUCAGAGACAGGAAUGCCUUGCUGGAGAU